GGUGCCUGACUAAUAAUACAAAGAAGCUAUUUCAACCUGGGCUUCAUGGGGGCUGGACCUGGAAAACAGAGCUGUUCCUCAGGGCUGAGAUCACCCUGUUGUCUGUAGGUGAAGCAGCAUUAAUGCAUCAUCCUGAUCCACCCCAUGAUGAACAGACACACCCUUGAAUUUAGUUCAACAUCCACCCAUCCUGCCUUUUUGAAGAAAGUUCAGUGUUUCCAGAGCUUAUGAUGUGAUUGCAAACAACCUUUCUAUUUUUCUAGCUUCAAGGAUUCGGAUAUUCUGGGGAAACCAAGUGUGAUCUGAAGGUUGAAGCUCAACUGUUCAUUAUUUCUCCAAGUUCUGGGAUAAUGUUAUUAGUUUUUAAGCAUGAGGUGCUUCCCAGGAGAGCUGCUGAGUCCCAACCCGACCAAACCCUUUCACGUCGUGGCCUGUACGAUGCACCAUCAUUGUGGAAUGUCUCUGAGAUGACUUCUGCAGUUCUCCCAACCACUUUGAAUCCUUGGCGAGCUUCCUCUAGGACUUAAGGUGCCACAAGGAGCCAGGCACUGUCCAUUUUAAACACUGAGGACU
ensembl:lncRNA